rnacentral:rRNA from 1 species
UCGAGAGGGUGCGAGCGUUGUUCGGAAUUAUUGGGCGUAAAGGGCGCGUAGGCGGUGCGGUAAGUCACCUGUGAAAUCUCCUGGCUCAACUGGGAGCUUGCAGGCGAAACUGCCGUGCUGGAGUGUGGGAGAGGUGCGUGGAAUUCCUGGUGUAGCGGUGAAAUGCGUAGAUAUCAGGAGGAACACCUGUGGCGAAAGCGGCGCACUGGACCACAACUGACGCUGAGGCGCGAAAGCUAGGGGAGCAAACAGG